rnacentral:lncRNA from 1 species
UUCAGGUUCCCGUUACUUGGAAGUUGGAUCAUGGCAGGGGGGCGGGUCUAACUGAGUAACGGUUUGAUUAGUUAAUUGUUGAGGUUUGGUUGAUUGAGUUGAUAGCAUGCCUAGUUAUUGCUUGAGAACCGUAGUAGCAUGCUAAUGGUUAGGUUGAUUGGUUAGUUAGCGAAUGUUGAAUGCUUAGAUGAUAUCGCUAAGUUGUGGAUAGUUAGGUAUUCUGGAAUUAGUCUUUAUGCUAGAUUCUUGAAUGUGUUUGAUUGGGGUUGUGAUUACUAGUUGAAACCUUGUGUUAUUUUACCUAGUUUAGUAUUAGUCAUGUAUUGGCCAUAUAGCAUUUGUGUAACCCACAAUGCUAGGCAUGUUUGAGGUGGAUUAGUGUUUCCUCGACCUCGUACCCAGCGGGUUUAAGGAAACCCCUUAUUCGCUGGA